GGUGAACGCUGGCGGCGUGCUUAAGACAUGCAAGUCGAACGCAGUCUUCGGACUGAGUGGCGCACGGGUGAGUAACACGUAACUGACCUACCCCCAAGUCGCGGAUAACUGGCCGAAAGGUCAGCUAAUACGUGAUGUGAUGUCCCCUUUCUGGGGGGCCAUUAAGGGUUUACUGCUUGGGGAGGGGGUUGCGUUCCAUCAGCUAGUUGGCGGGGUAAAGGCCCACCAAGGUAACGACGGAUAGCCGGCCUGAGAGGGUGGCCGGCCACAGGGGCACUGAGAAACGGGUCCCACUCCUACGGGAGGCAGCAGUUAGGAAUCUUCCACAAUGGGCGAAAGCCUGAUGGAGCGUCGCCGCGUGAGGGAUGAAGGUUCUCGGAUCGUAAACCUCUGAAUCAGGGACGAAAGACGCGUAAGCGGGAUGACGGUACCUGAGUAAUAGCACCGGCUAACUCCGUGCCAGCAGCCGCAGUAA
rnacentral:rRNA from 1 species